GCAACUGGGUACGCAAGCAGCUCUCGGCACCCGGCCCAGCUUCUUUCAAAAUGUCUACUGUUCAUGAGAUUCUGUGCAAGCUCAGCUUGGAGGGUGACCACUCCACACCCACAAGUGCAUAUGGGUCAGUCAAAGCCUACACCAACUUUGAUGCUGAGUGGGAUGCUUUGAACAUCGAGACAGCCAUCAAGACCAAAGUGUGGAUGAGGUCACCAUUGUCAACAUUUUGACCAACCGCAGCAAUACACAGAGACAGGAAUCAGCACUGAAGUCAGCCUUAUCUCGCCACCUGGAGACGGUGAUUUUGGGCCUCCUGAAGACACCUGCUCAGUAUGAUGCUUCAGAGCUAAAAGCUUCCAUGAAGGGGCUGGGAACUGACGAGGACUCCCUCAUUGAGAUCAUCUGCUCCAGGAUCAACCAGGAGCUGCAGGAAAUUAGCAGUGUCUACAAGGAAAUGUACAAGACUGACCUGGAGAAGGACAUUUUUUCUGAUACAUCUGGAGAUUUCUGCAAGCUGAGGGCUACCCUCACAAAGGGUAGAAGAGCAGAGGAUGGCUCAGUCAUUGAUUAUGAACUGAUUGACCAAGACGCCUGGGAUCUCUAUGAUGCUGGAGUGAAGAGGAAAGAAACAGAUGUUCCCAAGUGGAUCAGCAUAAGACAGAGUUGAGUGUGUGCCACCUCCAGAAAGUAUUUGAUAGGUAUAAGAGCUAUAGCCCUUACGACAUGUUGGAGAGCAUCAAGAGGAAGUCAAAGGAGACUUGGAGACUGCGUUCCUGAACCUGGUCCAGUGCAUUCAGAACAAGCCCCUGUACUUUGCUGAUCGGUUGUAUGACUCCAUGAAGGGCAAAGGUACUCGCGAUAAGGUCCUGAUUAGAAUCAUGGUCGCCCGCAGUGAAGCGGACAUGUUGAAAAUCAGGUCUGAGUUCAAGAGAAAGUACGGCAAGUCCCUGUACUAUUACAUCCAGCAAGACGCUAAGGGUGACUCCCAGAAAGCGCUGCUGUACCUGUGCGGGGGAGACGACUGAAGCCUGGCCCGAACGGUUUCCAGCGUCCAGGAACGCGCUCCCUGUGCUUCCAGCUAACAGGCCUAGAAAACCAGCUUGCGCCUAACAGCCCCCGUGGCCAUUCCUGUGAGGAUAAAGUUAGCAUUGCCCCCAGCCUUGUUUUAGCUCCCUGAGCAUCGCCUGGCUUUCUUGUGUAGUCUCUC